rnacentral:rRNA from 1 species
UGGAGCAUGUGGUUUAAUUCGAUGCAACGCGAAGAACCUUGCCUACUCUUGACAUCCAGAGAACUUUCCAGAGAUGGAUUGGUGCCUUCGGGAACUCUGAGACAGGUGCUGCAUGGCUGUCGUCAGCUCGUGUUGUGAAAUGUUGGGUUAAGUCCCGCAACGAGCGCAACCCUUAUCCUUUGUUGCCAGCGGUUCGGCCGGGAACUCAAAGGAGACUGCCAGUGAUAAACUGGAGGAAGGUGGGGAUGACGUCAAGUCAUCAUGGCCCUUACGAGUAGGGCUACACACGUGCUACAAUGGCAUAUACAAAGAGAAGCGACCUCGCGAGAGCAAGCGGACCUCAUAAAGUAUGUCGUAGUCCGGAUUGGAGUCUGCAACUCGACUCCAUGAAGUCGGAAUCGCUAGUAAUCGUAGAUCAGAAUGCUACGGUGAAUACGUUCCCGGGCCUUGUACACACCGCCCGUCACACCAUGGGAGUGGGUUGCAAAAGAAGUAGGUAGCUUAACCUUCGGGAGGGCGCUUACCACUUUGUGAUUCAUGACUGGGGUG